UAUGGCCAUAGUACCCUGAACACACCCAAUCUUGUCUGAUCUUGGAAGCUAAGCAGGGUCAGGCCUGGUUAGUACUUGGAUGGGAGACUUCAACCUUGAAUUGAUCCAUAC
rnacentral:rRNA from 1 species